GGGUGGGAUGAGUAUUCUAAGGCGCGUGGAAGAACUCUCUUUAAGGAACUCUGCAAAAUAGCACCGUAUCUUCGGUAUAAGGUGUGGUUAGCUUUGUAUUAGGAUUUACUCCGAAAGCAAGGAAACUUACAACAAAGAGUCCCUCCCGACUGUUUACCAAAAACACAGCACUCUGCUAACUCGUAAGAGGAUGUAUAGGGUGUGACGCCUGCCCGGUGCUCGAAGGUUAAUUGAUGGGGUUAGCAUUAGCGAAGCUCUUGAUCGAAGCCCGAGUAAACGGCGGCCGUAACUAUAACGGUCCUAAGGUAGCGAAAUUCCUUGUCGGUUAAAUACCGACCUGCAUGAAUGGCGUAACGAGAUGGGAGCUGUCUCAAAGAGGGAUCCAGUGAAAUUGUAGUGGAGGUGAAAAUUCCUCCUACCCGCGGCAAGACGGAAAGACCCCGUGGACCUUUACUACAGCUUGACACUGCUACUUGGAUAAGAAUGUGCAGGAUAGGUGGGAGGCUUUGAGUAUAUGACGCCAGUUGUAUAUGAGCCAUUGUUGAGAUACCACUCUUUCUUAUUUGGGUAGCUAACCAGCUUGAGUUAUCCUCAAGUGGGACAAUGUCUGGUGGGUAGUUUGACUGGGGCGGUCGCCUCCCAAAUAAUAACGGAGGCUUACAAAGGUUGGCUCAGAACGGUUGGAAAUCGUUCGUAGAGUAUAAAGGUAUAAGCCAGCUUAACUGCAAGACAUACAAGUCAAGCAGAGACGAAAGUCGGUCUUAGUGAUCCGGUGGUUCUGUGUGGAAGGGCCAUCGCUCAAAGGAUAAAAGGUCCCCCGGGGAUAACAGGCUGAUCUCCCCCAAGAGCUCACAUCGACGGGGAGGUUUGGCACCUCGAUGUCGGCUCAUCGCAUCCUGGGGCUGGAGCAGGUCCCAAGGGUAUGGCUGUUCGCCAUUUAAA
rnacentral:rRNA from 1 species